rnacentral:rRNA from 1 species
UACGUAGGGGGCAAGCGUUGGCCGGAAUCAUUGGGCGUAAAGCGGGUGUAGGCGGCCCGAUAAGUCCGCUGUGAAAGUCCAGGGCUCAACCCUGGGAUGCCGGUGGAUACUGUCGGGCUCGAGUCCGGAAGAGGCGAGUGGAAUUCCUGGUGUAGCGGUGAAAUGCGCAGAUAUCAGGAGGAACACCAAUGGCGAAGGCAGCUCGCUGGGACGUGACUGACGCUGAGACGCGAAAGCGUGGGGAGCAAACAGG